rnacentral:misc_RNA from 1 species
AGCAGCCGCGGUAAUUCCAGCUCCAAUAGCGUAUAUUAAAGUUGUUGCAGUUAAAAGCUCGUAGUUGAAUUUCGGGGUCUGUCCGUCGGUCGGGCUUCACGGUCCGUACUGGUGUGAUGGGUUCCUACCUUCUGAAUAGCCGGCAUGCCAUUCAUUUGGUGCGCCGGGGAAGCAGAGCUAUUACCUUGAAAAAUUGAGUGCUUAAAGCAGGCUAGUGCUUGAAUAGAUUAGCAUGGAAUAAUAAAAUAGGACGGCAUGGUUCUAUUUUGUUGGUUUCUAGGAUCACCGUAAUGAUUAAUAGGGAUAGUUGGGGGCAUUAGUAUUCAAUUGUCAGAGGUGAAAUUCUUGGAUUUAUUGAAGUACUAACUUCUGCGAAAGCAUUUGCCAAGGAUGUU